rnacentral:rRNA from 1 species
UACGUAGGGGGCAAGCGUUGUCCGGAAUCAUUGGGCGUAAAGAGCGUGUAGGCGGCCAGAUAAGUCCGCUGUGAAAUCUCGAGGCUCAACUUCGAGCUGUCGGUGGAAACUGUCUGGCUAGAGUCCGGAAGAGGAGAAUGGAAUUCCUGGUGUAGCGGUGAAAUGCGCAGAUAUCAGGAAGAACACCCGUGGCGAAGGCAGCUCGCUGGGCCGAUACUGACGCUGAGGAGCGAAAGCGUGGGGAGCGAACAGG